UGAGUACGAGACGCUAAGGCGUCGAAGUAGUGGAUGUCAUACUUCCAAGAAAAGCUUGCACUGUCAUAACUAAAAAACGCCUGUACCAUAACCGACACAGGUGGGUAGGUAGAGUAUACUAAGGGGCGCGAGAUAACUCUCUCUAAGGAACUCGGCAAAAUAACUCCGUAACUUCGGGAGAAGGAGUGCCUUAUUCGUAAGGCUGCAAUAACAAGAUCCAAGCAACUGUUUAUCAAAAACACAGGUCUCCGCUAAGUCGUAAGACGAUGUAUGGGGGCUGACGCCUGCCCAGUGCCAGAAGGUUAAAGAAGUCGGUUAGCAUUAGCGAAGCUGGUAACUGAAGCCCUGGUGAACGGCGGCCGUAACAAUAACGGUCCUAAGGUAGCGAAAUUCCUUGUCGGGUAAGUUCCGACCCGCACGAAAGGCGUAAUGAUUUGGAUACUGUCUCGGAGAGGGGCUCGGUGAAAUAGACUUGUCUGUGAAGAUGCGGACUACCUGCACCAGGACAGAAAGACCCUAUGAAGCUUUACUGUAACUUGAAAUUGAAAUUGGACUUUAUUCGCGCAGUAUAGGUGGGAGGUGUUGAUUAUAAUCUUGCGGGAUUAUUGGAGCCAUCAGUGAGAUACCACUCUUGUAAUGUUAGAUUUCUAACUUUGAAUCAUUAUCUGGUCAAAGAACAGUUUCAGGCGGGCAGUUUGACUGGGGCGGUCGCCUCCUAAAUGGUAACGGAGGCGUACAAAGGUUUCCUCUGAACGGGUAGAAAUCGUAUCUAGAGUGUAAAGGCAUAAGGAAGCUUGACUGUGAGACCUACAAGUCGAGCAGGGACGAAAGUCGGUCUUAGUGAUCUGACGGUACUGAGUGGAAAGGCCGUCACUCAACGGAUAAAAGUUACUCUAGGAUAACAGGCUGAUCUCCCCCAAGAGUUCACAUCGACGGGGAGGUUUGGCACCUCGAUGUCGGCUCAUCGCAUCCUGGGGCGGUAGUACGUCCCAAGGGUUGGGCUGUUCGCCCAUGAAAGCGGUACGCGAGCUGGGUUCAGAACGUCGUGAGACAGUUCGGUCCAUAUCCGGUGUAGGCGUUAGAAUAUUGAGAGGAGCCUUCUUUAGUACGAGAGGACCGAGAAGGACAUACCUCUGGUGUACCAGUUAUCGUGCCAACGGUAAACGCUGGGUAGCUAUGUAUGGAGUGGAUAACCGCUGAAAGCAUCUAAGUGGGAAGCCCACCUCAAGAUAAGUAUUCU
rnacentral:rRNA from 1 species